UAGGGGUUGUUGGCCUAGAAAUUAUCGCACGUUCUGGAAGUAUGAGAGAAUCAUACGUUACAAAGCUAAUUAGCGUACGUUACAAAGCUAACACACAAUAAAUAGCCUCACCAUGCCUCAGUCUUCUUCACUUCUCAAUUCUCAUAGAAACCUUUGUGAUCAAAGAGUGAGUGAGAAAUACAAUCCUUCUAUAUAGAUAUCUGUAGGUAGGUAAACUCCAAUGGAGGAGAAUAGAGAAAUUCUCAUAUUCUCAAACAAGAAGAGAAUCAAACAGCAGCAUCAACAGAAAAGUUUGUGCUCACAGCGAAUCAGCGAAUUACCAGAUUUCCACAUUAUGACUCACCUUCAAAUUCCUAGAAGAUUCAUGGAUGCAGCCAGAUGAGGUGGGGUUGUAUAACCAAUGCUUUGUGUUGAUUACGAGAUGCAAUUAAGGAAUCAACAUGAAAGCAUUGGUUAACACUGGAUUGAACAUAGCGUCAAAGAGCUUGAACUCUGCUUCUCAAAAGGAAAACAGUUCAGCAUCUUUGAUCAGAAUGGUUGGUAGUGAUGCUUGCACGUUCAGAUGCCCAAGAUAUCCCAAGAAGAUUUCUAGUGCAGAAAUAAAAGAUAACUACUGACCAUAUAUCUAUUUCUUCCAGUGGGCCAUAUGAAGCGGGUGAACAAUAUCACUAUCUUUUUGUUGUUGCAGUUGUUUUUGUGUGGUGAACAAUAUCACUAUCAGAUAAUGUGUACAGUACGCUUAAUUACUACAGAUUAUAGGAGCCUCAAACCAUUGAUUGUACAUGUUAGUUGUCUCAUACAAGUCAGAUCAGUGAUUACCA